rnacentral:rRNA from 1 species
CUAUCACUCCUACGGGAGGCAGCAGUGAGGAAUAUUGGGUCAAUGGGCGCAAGCCUGAACCAGCCAUGCCGCGUGCAGGAAGACUGCCUUGAUGGGUUGUAAACGCUUUAUAUGGGAAGAAACCCCUCUACGUGUAGAGGCUUGACGGUACCAUAAGAACUAAGCACCGGCUAACUCCGUGCCAGCAGCCGNGGUAAUACGGAGGGUGCAAGCGUUAUCCGGAAUCAUUGGGUUUAAAGGGUCCGCAGGCGGUCAAUUAAGUCAGAGGUGAAAUCCUAUAGCUUAACUAUAGAACUGCCUUUGAUACUGGUUGACUUGAGUUAUACGGAAGUAGGUAGAAUGUGUAGUGUAGCGGUGAAAUGCAUAGAUAUUACACAGAAUACCGAUUGCGAAGGCAGCCUACUACGUAUAUACUGACGCUCAUGGACGAAAGCGUGGGGAGCGAACAGGAUUAGAUACCCUGGUAG